AAAAAAAAAAAAAAAAAGGAUGACUGCAGUUUUGAUGAGAAAAGGUUGACAAACAGAUCCUAAAACAAAUAUAAAAUGUAAUUUCAAAAAGAUGUUGAACUAUUAUACUGUAAAACUUUGUAAAGCAUUAAAAAUAGAAAUAUACAAUACUAAUAGGUAAAACUAGAUAAAAUAAUACGAAAAAAACUGAAAUUGGCUAAGUUACAUAAACAAGAAUAUAUUUUUGGUGUUUGCUUACUGAAUAUAUACACAAAUGACUUGAUAGUACGUGGUUAUGUAAAAAAUUAUAUCAUCGUAUACAUAGCAGAAACCACUUAAAUUUUCUCCAAAAAGUAUGAAUUAAAAAAAAUAGAGAAUGCAUUCUACAAGUCGUAGAACAUAAAUAUUAAUAAGUUGUGUUGAUUUUUUACAAAUAUAUCAAUGACAAACGUAUCUACAGGAGAAAGCAAAUAAAUUUUAUCUUACC
rnacentral:misc_RNA from 1 species